rnacentral:rRNA from 1 species
GAUGAACGCUGGCGGCGUGCCUAACACAUGCAAGUCGAACGAACCUUGGGGAACAGAUUACUUCGGUUUGAAGUUCCCCGCUGGUUAGUGGCGGACGGGUGAGUAACGCGUGGGUAACCUGCCGUAUGCAGGGGGAUAACAGUUAGAAAUGACUGCUAAUACCGCAUAAGCGCACAGUAUCGCAUGAUACAGUGUGAAAAACGAUAGUGGCAUACGAUGGACCCGCGUCUGAUUAGCUAGUUGGCGGGGUAACGGCCCACCAAGGCGACGAUCAGUAGGGGUUCUGAGAGGAAGGUCCCCACAUUGGAACUGAGACACGGUCCAAAACUCCUACGGGAGGCAGCAGUGAGGAAUAUUGGUCAAUGGGGCGAGAGCCUGAACCAGCCAAGUAGCGUGCAGGAUGACGGCCCUAUGGGUUGUAAAACUGCUUUUUAUAAGGGAAUAAAAGUGGGUCACGUGUGACUUUUUGCAUGACCUUAUGAAUAAGGACCGGCUAAUUCCGUGCCAGCAG